GUAGUGCUCUCCGAAGUUGCAGAGGGGUAACUGCUGAGGCUCUCUCUGCACACAGACACGCCACAGAGAGAGACUGAGAUCAUUUUGUCCUCUCUCCUGCUCCCGGUGCUGGGCUGUACCCUGAGAUGAGCUAUUUUCGAAGCAAAGUGUCCACAUGAGCAAGCUAACGUGAAAGACCAGUCCAAAAAGAAGCGCUUCAACUCUUUU